GAUGAACGCUAGCUACAGGCUUAACACAUGCAAGUCGAGGGGAAACGACAUCGAAAGCUUGCUUUUGAUGGGCGUCGACCGGCGCACGGGUGAGUAACGCGUAUCCAACCUGCCCACCACUUGGGGAUAACCUUGCGAAAGUAAGAUUAAUACCCGAUGGUUUCCUUUUAUCUCCUGAUAGAGGGAAUAAAGAAUUUCGGUAUGGGAUGGCGAUGCGUCCGAUUAGCUAGUUGGCGGGGUAACGGCCCACCAAGGCGACGAUCGGUAGGGGUUCUGAGAGGAAGGUCCCCCACAUUGGAACUGAGACACGGUCCAAACUCCUACGGGAGGCAGCAGUGAGGAAUAUUGGUCAAUGGGCGAGAGCCUGAACCAGCCAAGUAGCGUGCAGGAUGACGGCCCUAUGGGUUGUAAACUGCUUUAUAAGGGAAUAAAGUGAGCCUCGUGAGGCUUUUUGCAUGUACCUUAUGAAUAAGGACCGGCUAAUUCCGUG
rnacentral:rRNA from 1 species